ACAAAUAAUCUUCAAGUAGAACUUUUCGAUGUAUGGGGCAUUGAUUUCAUGGGGCCAUUCCCUAUGUCUGGGAAUUGUGAAUAUAUCUUAGUAGCCAUGGACUACGUGUCCAAAUGGGUAGAAGCCUUACCUUGUCGAUCAGCUGAUUCAAAACAUGCCAAGAGAAUGUUCCAUGAAGUAAUCUUUCCUCGCUUUGGUAUACCCCGGAUAGUUAUAAGCGAUGGAGGUUCCCACUUCAUCGAAAAAAUCUUCCGGAAGUACCUAGCCGAUCAUGGAGUUCGACACAACGUCGCAACACCAUACCAUCCUCAGACUAGCGGUCAAGCCGAAACAUCUAACAAACAAAUCAAAAAUAUUUUACAAAAGACCGUAGAUGAGAUGGGUAAAGGGUGGAAGGACAAACUUCCUGAUGCACUUUGGGCAUAUAGAACUGCAUUCAAAACACCCAUAGGCAUGUCACCUUAUCAACUUGUAUAUGGAAAAACUUGUCAUUUGCCUGUGGAAGUAGAAUUUAAGGCUCAUUGGGCACUCAAGAAAUGGAAUAUGGAUCUCCAUCUCGCUAGCAAGAAUCGUCUGAUGCAACUAUCUGAGUUAGAAGAAUGGAGAGAGAAAGCCUACCACAAUUCAAGGAUCUAUAAAGAGAGAACAAAACGAUGGCAUGAUAAAAGAAUCAAGCACAAGGAGUUUAAGCCUGGAGAUAAGGUUCUACUAUUCAAUUCAAGAGUUAAGCUCUUUGGUCAUGGUAAGCUACGAAGUAAGUGGGUUGGACCAUACAAGGUUAUUGACACUUCAACUCAUGGAGCUAUUACCAUCCAAGAUGACAUAGGUAACACUUUUAAGGUAAAUGGUCAACGCUUGAAAAUCUAUCUCGAGCCACAAAACAACCUGGUAGAGGAACUUGAUGAGAUUGAGUUCAUAGAAUUCUCAUAUUAAGCUCUCAUAAGCUCUAGACAAUUACCUAACCCUUAACAUGUUCCACAAGUUUUGUUGUCUAUUUGGGUUGCGCAGGAUUUUGAGGCUUAAGAAGAGUGAGACCAAACAUGCAGGCUACAAGAGUGAACGACUAUGUCAACAUCCAGCUUGGGGGAGGCACCCCCAUGUGUAUUUAGAUAAGUAUUACUUUUCUUUCUUGGUUUUAUUUACUAGUAUUCAGAAAUAAAAACAUGCAUAACCAUGAAACCAAACAAAGUUUUUCUUUUAAGUAAUAUACAAUAGUUUUGUGUAAUCCUAAGUUUUAAAUAAAAUAAAAAGAAAGUUUGAUUCAAGUCUAGGUAAUUGACAAACAUGAUAUGAGAAGGUCUGAGCUACUAUUUAACUUGUUCCAAGUUUUGCUAGAGUUCUGGAGAUUUUAUCUUUUGAAAAUCUAAAAAUUCAUAAAAAAUAAUAAUAAUAAAAUAAAUAUGAGAUCAUAAUACCUAGAGUCUUAUAAGAUAUGAAUAUUAAAACUAUGGGCACUUGCUUUGUUCAAGCCAUUGUUAAUUCUUGUAGUUUUGGUUGAGAGAAUUAUCAUGCUCCCAAGAUCAAGAUCUUUUUGUUUUAAAAAUAUAAAAGAUUCACUCUUCCAAAGUAUUAUUGCAUUAGAGGCAUGGGACUAUGCAAAAAUUUGAUUCAAAAAAAAAGAGUGAGACGAGAGGUAAAAAUGGACAAGUGUCCGAAGUAGAAUUAGGGGUACAAAGAUACCCACCUGAGUGGAAAAAAUGGACAUGUGUCCGACAGUAGAAUUAGGGGUACUUGCUGCCCACUUAAAAAAAAGAGAGAAAAAAAAACAAAAAAAAUGAUGAUAGCCCAUGGUCCCUCUAAUAAGCAAUAUGCCAGUAAGAGAUGACAAACUUCUCAAAAAGGUCAAAGGUCUUGAUCUAGGAGUAUGACAUUCCUCUCCCUUACUUCGAGCGUUGACAUAGCAAAAUGCAAAGUAAGUAUGCUAAAACUUUUAAAGCUCUACUUAUAUAUAUCUUUCGAGAAGAAGGAAAAUGCCUCGGUUUUAUUUUGCAGACUUAUAAAAAAAACUCCAGAGCAAAGGUAAGACAGAAGAAUUUGAGACAUAGUGCUUGACUUGAUUGUUCUAUUUUUCAAUCACUUAAGACCUUAGUGAUAACUUAAAAACCCUGUAGUAAGAGGCAUAAAAGUAAUCCAUGUUUUCUUGCUAAUUUUAGCUUUGCUCAGGGACGAGCAAAGGUUAAGCUUGGGGGAGCUUGUUGACGGUUCUUAAUGCUCACAUUUAACCAUCAACUAAUCAUGAAAAAGGAUCCAAAUGCAACCAACACCUAGAUUUAGGGUUUUAUCUGACAGAAUUCCACGAGUUUUGGUGUUUGUCUAUUUCUGCAGGGGGUUAUCAGGAAAUACGGAAGAAAGGCCCACACGUCGGGUUUACAUAGAGAUAUUAACGUGGCGCGCAAUAUUCUAUCAUCUAGAAGACUCCAGAAGCCACGGGACCGAAGCGGAGGCCGAGAGGGCUCAGGCACAGGGCGCCCGCCCUAGUCCCUUGGGCGCCCGCCCUCCCCCCUGGACCAAUCAGGGUGAAGUUCGGGGAUCAUGCUCCACCGACCUAAUACUUCAAGGAAAACCACACGAUCAAUGUCGGUUUGAUCCGACGGCCCAGAUUCACUUGAAGGGACUAUAAAACCAGACCCCCUGGCCCCUGGAGAUCAUACCUCUUCUACAGAAUCAAAGCUAGGGUUUCAAUUCUUCAUCCAAGUAGAGAGGAUCCCUCUAGUUCUUCUAGUUCUACCUAUAGUUCAUCUAGAUCUAGUUCUAGUUCAUCUAGUUCUAGUUCUAGUUCCUCUAGUUCUAGUUCUAGUUAGUUCUAGUUGUAAUCUAGAAAAUAGGGAGAGAGAAGAGGAGAGCCGAGGAGGAGCCGGAUCUGUCGGAUCUUCCUCAACAUUGUACUUUUGUAGCAACUGGUUCGUUCUUCAUCGUUCUCCAGGUUCUUCAAUUCAUAAUCCUGAGUUCUUUAAUUACUUUUAUUUGCAUUCAAGUUAUUUAUUGGAUUCCCGCUUGCAUCAAGUGCUCUAAUCUUUGCAACACUAGAGUAGUAAUUAAUAGAUUAGACGUGGUGUUUAGUCUUGUAAUUACCUGGAAUUGCACCCAAUCCUGCGGAUUGUUGUGGUAGCCUUAGGGUAGUGACAGCCCUAACGGUCGACGUAUUCCACCACGUUCGGAUCGGUGUCUGUAGGACCGUAGUCAGACCUUCCUAGCCCCCUUCUCAUCUCUUUCUGUGGUUAGUGCUCUGAUGUCCCGAAAUAGAUAAUCUUGAAGUAAUUCUUGAUUCUUAGAUCAAUUAGAGAACUCUCAGGAAACUUCCUCUCUUCCCACCAAAAAUAAUUAUAUAGUUAUCCAUGGGCGAUCUUGGAUCUUAAUUAGUACACUCACGUUCCCUGUGGAAAAUCGAUACUCUAGAAUACUCCCGGGUGAAAGCUACAUCGGUAUCCGUGCGCUUGCGGAUUUUUCUGUUUGCGUUUAAAAUACCCAACACUCGCCCUUUGGAGCAAAGAAUUUAUAGAUAGGAGUGAAAUUCCUCUUCCAAUGUUGGAGCUUGCUCCUCUGAAGAGCUAGCUUGAGCAGCAGAUGGUGUUCUUGAUGGUGAUUCGAAUUUGUCCCUUGCUUCUACAAACUUCUUCUUCCUAAGUAGUUUCUCUGGUUCUUUAGUAAAGUUUCUUGGAAGAGCAAAACCAUCCACUCAUCACCCCGCAUAAGAUAAGAAAAUGAUAACGACGAAGGGUGUACCUGAUUGAGUUAGAAAUUGAUUGGUAAUAUGGCUUUAUCCAUGCGUAUAUAGGUUAUCAAUAUAUCCUAAGUUUAUUGUGCCUUCCUCGGCAACGGCGCCAAAAAUGUUUGUUGAUAUUUACUACUGUCAUUACUAAAAAUAGAGAUAAACCCUAUCUCUAGCAACAACACCAGAAAUGCAUAGUAUAUAAUUAACUUGUCAAUUAACAACUAACCACCCUCAUAUUCCUUAGCAUGAAAUAGGUUGUCAUCCCUAAAUAUGGCUCAACCCUAAUUAACUUGUCUAGGCUUCAAUAUAAGUAAACACAUGAUGAGCUUCCCAUAAAUGACUACCUAAGGGAUGACACCCUACUUAAGAUAACACAUGCAGAUCCAUGGUACGCAGACAUCGUAAACUUUAUAGUAAAAGGCUAUGUCCCACCUGGUGCAAACAAAAGGAAGUUGCUUCACGAUAGUCGUUUCCACCUGUGGGAUGAGCCAUAUCUUUUCCGAGUCUGCGCUGAUGGACUCUUGAGAAGGUGUGUUCCUAUGGCUGAGGCUACUCAAAUUAUGGAAAGAUGCCAUGCCUCGCCAUAUGGGGGACACUACGGAGCAUUCCGGACACAUGCUAAAAUCUGGCAAAGUGGUUUUUUCUGGCCAACAAUGUAUCAAGAUACAAAGGACUUUGUCAGGAGAUGCCACCGGUGUCAAAAACAUGGGAAUAUUAACUCACGAAAUGAAAUGCCUCUCACAAAUAAUCUUCAAGUAGAACUUUUCGAUGUAUGGGGCAUUGAUUUCAUGGGGUCAUUCCCUAUGUCCGGGAAUUGUGAAUAUAUCUUAGUAGCCAUGGACUACGUGUCCAAAUGGGUAGAAGCCUUACCUUGUCGAUCAGCUGAUUCAAAACAUGCCAAGAGAAUGUUCCAUGAAGUAAUCUUUCCUCGCUUUGGUAUACCCCGGAUAGUUAUAAGCGAUGGAGGUUCCCACUUCAUCGACAAAAUCUUCCGGAAGUACCUAGCCGAUCAUGGAGUUCGACACAACGUCGCAACACCAUACCAUCCUCAGACUAGCGGUCAAGCCGAAACAUCUAACAAACAAAUCAAAAAUAUUUUACAAAAGACCGUAGAUGAGAUGGGUAAGGGGUGGAAGGACAAACUUCCUGAUGCACUUUGGGCAUAUAGAACUGCAUUCAAAACACCCAUAGGCAUGUCACCUUAUCAACUUGUAUAUGGAAAAACUUGUCAUUUGCCUGUGGAAGUAGAAUUUAAGGCUCAUUGGGCACUCAAGAAAUGGAACAUGGAUCUCCAUCUCGCUAGCGAGAAUCGUCUGAUGCAACUAUCUGAGUUAGAAGAAUGGAGAGAGAAAGCCUACCACAAUUCAAGGAUCUAUAAAGAGAGAACAAAACGAUGGCAUGAUAAGAGAAUCAAGCACAAGGAGUUUAAGCCUGGAGAUAAGGUUCUACUAUUCAAUUCAAGAGUUAAGCUCUUUGGUCAUGGUAAGCUACGAAGUAAGUGGGUUGGACCAUACAAGGUUAUUGACACUUCAACUCAUGGAGCUAUUACCAUCCAAGAUGACAUAGGUAACACUUUUAAGGUAAAUGGUCAACGCUUGAAAAUCUAUCUCGAGCCACAAAACAACCUGGUAGAGGAACUUGAUGAGAUUGAGUUCAUAGAAUUCUCAUAUUAAGCUCUCAUAAGCUCUAGACAAUUACCUAACCCUUAACAUGUUCCACAAGUUUUGUUGUCUAUUUGGGUUGCGCAGGAUUUUGAGGCUUAAGAAGAGUGAGACCAAACAUGCAGGCUACAAGAGUGAACGACUAUGUCAACAUCCAGCUUGGGGGAGGCACCCCCACGUGUAUUUAGAUAAGUAUUACUUUUCUUUCUUGGUUUUAUUUACUAGUAUUCAGAAAUAAAAAAAUGCAUAACCAUGAAACCAAACAAAGUUUUUCUUUUAAGUAAUAUACAAUAGUUUUGUGUAAUCCUAAGUUUUAAAUAAAAUAAAAAGAAAGUUUGAUUCAAGUCUAGGUAAUUGACAAACAUGAUAUGAGAAGGUCUGAGCUACUAUUUAACUUGAUCCAAGUUUUGCUAGAGUUCUGGAGAUUUUAUCUUUUGAAAAUCUAAAAAUUCAUAAAAAAUAAUAAUAAUAAAAUAAAUAUGAGAUCAUAAUACCUAGAGUCUUAUAAGAUAUGAAUAUUAAAACUAUGGGCACUUGCUUUGUUCAAGCCAUUGUUAAUUCUUGUAGUUUUGGUUGAGAGAAUUAUCAUGCUCCCAAGAUCAAGAUCUUUUUGUUUUAAAAAUAUAAAAGAUUCACUCUUCCGAAGUAUUAUUGCAUUAGAGGCAUGGGACUAUGCAAAAAUUUGAUUCGAAAAAAAAGAGUGAGACGAGAGGUAAAAAUGGACAAGUGUCCGAAGUAGAAUUAGGGGUACAAAGAUACCCACCUGAGUGGAAAAAAUGGACAUGUGUCCGACAGUAGAAUUAGGGGUACUUGCUGCCCACUUAAAAAAAAGAGAGAAAAAAAAACAAAAAAAAUGAUGAUAGCCCAUGGUCCCUCUAAUAAGCAAUAUGCCAGUAAGAGAUGACAAACUUCUCAAAAAGGUCAAAGGUCUUGAUCUAGGAGUAUGACAUUCCUCUCCCUUACUUCGAGCGUUGACAUAGCAAAAUGCAAAGUAAGUAUGCUAAAACUUUUAAAGCUCUACUUAUAUAUAUCUUUCGAGAAGAAGGAAAAUGCCUCGGUUUUAUUUUGCAGACUUAUAAAAAAAAAACUCCAGAGCAAAGGUAAGACAGAAGAACUUGAGACAUAGUGCUUGACUUGAUUGUUCUAUUUUUCAAUCACUUAAGACCUUAGUGAUAACUUAAAAACCCUGUAGUAAGAGGCAUAAAAGUAAUCCAUGUUUUCUUGCUAAUUUUAGCUUUGCUCAGGGACGAGCAAAGGUUAAGCUUGGGGGAGCUUGUUGACGGUUCUUAAUGCUCACAUUUAACCAUCAACUAAUCAUGAAAAAGGAUCCAAAUGCAACCAACACCUAGAUUUAGGGUUUUAUCUGACAGAAUUCCACGAGUUUUGGUGUUUGUCUAUUUCUGCAGGGGGUUAUCAGGAAAUACGGAAGAAAGGCCCACACGUCGGGUUUACAUAGAGAUAUUAACGUGCCGCGCAAUAUUCUAUCAUCUAGAAGACUCCAGAAGCCACGGGACCGAAGCGGAGGCCGAGAGGGCUCAGGCACAGGGCGCCCGCCCUAGUCCCUUGGGCGCCCGCCCUCCCCCCUGGACCAAUCAGGGUGAAGUUCAGGGAUCAUGCUCCACCGACCUAAUACUUCAAGGAAAACCACACGAUCAAUGUCGGUUUGAUCCGACGGCCCAGAUUCACUUGAAGGGACUAUAAAACCAGACCCCCUGGCCCCUGGAGAUCAUACCUCUUCUACAGAAUCAAAGCUAGGGUUUCAAUUCUUCAUCCAAGUAGAGAGGAUCCCUCUAGUUCUUCUAGUUCUACCUAUAGUUCAUCUAGAUCUAGUUCUAGUUCAUCUAGUUCUAGUUCUAGUUCCUCUAGUUCUAGUUCUAGUUAGUUCUAGUUGUAAUCUAGAAAAUAGGGAGAGAGAAGAGGAGAGCCGAGGAGGAGCCGGAUCUGUCGGAUCUUCCUCAACAUUGUACUUUUGUAGCAACUGGUUCGUUCUUCAUCGUUCUCCAGGUUCUUCAAUUCAUAAUCCUGAGUUCUUUAAUUACUUUUAUUUGCAUUCAAGUUAUUUAUUGGAUUCCCGCUUGCAUCAAGUGCUCUAAUCUUUGCAACACUAGAGUAGUAAUUAAUAGAUUAGACGUGGUGUUUAGUCUUGUAAUUACCUGGAAUUGCACCCAAUCCUGCGGAUUGUUGUGGUAGCCUUAGGGUAGUGACAGCCCUAACGGUCGACGUAUUCCACCACGUUCGGAUCGGUGUCUGUAGGACCGUAGUCAGACCUUCCUAGCCCCCUUCUCAUCUCUUUCUGUGGUUAGUGCUCUGAUGUCCCGAAAUAGAUAAUCUUGAAGUAAUUCUUGAUUCUUAGAUCAAUUAGAGAACUCUCAGGAAACUUCCUCUCUUCCCACCAAAAAUAAUUAUAUAGUUAUCCUUGGGCG
rnacentral:lncRNA from 1 species